UGGGGAAUUUUGCACAAUGGGGGAAACCCUGAUGCAGCGACGCCGCGUGAUUUAGAAGGCCUUCGGGUUGUAAAAAUCUUUUGUAUGGGAAGAAAAUGACAGUACCAUACGAAUAAGGACCGGCUAAUUACGUGCCAGCAGCCGCGGUAAUACGUAAGGUCCGAGCGUUGUCCGGAAUCAUUGGGCGUAAAGGGUACGUAGGCGGAUAAGCAAGUUAGAAGUGAAAUCCUAUAGCUCAACUAUAGUAAGCUUUUAAAACUGCUCAUCUUGAGGUAUGGAAGGGAAAGUGGAAUUCCUAGUGUAGCGGUGAAAUGCGCAGAUAUUAGGAGGAAUACCGGUGGCGAAGGCGACUUUCUGGCCAUAAACUGACGCUGAGGUACGAAAGCGUGGGUAGCAACCAGG
rnacentral:rRNA from 1 species